GACGAACGCUGGCGGCGUGCCUAAUACAUGCAAGUCGAACGCUGAAGGAGGAGCUUGCUUCUCCGGAUGAGUUGCGAACGGGUGAGUAACGCGUAGGUAACCUGCCUGGUAGCGGGGGAUAACUAUUGGAAACGAUAGCUAAUACCGCAUAAGAGUAGAUGUCGCAUGACAUUUGCUUAAAAGGUGCAACUGCACCACUACCAGAUGGACCUGCGUUGUAUUAGCUAGUUGGUGAGGUAACGGCUCACCAAGGCAACGAUACAUAGCCGACCUGAGAGGGUGAUCGGCCACACUGGGACUGAGACACGGCCCAGACUCCUACGGGAGGCAGCAGUAGGGAAUCUUCGGCAAUGGACGGAAGUCUGACCGAGCAACGCCGCGGGAGUGAAGAAGGUUGUCGGAUCGUAAAGCUCUGUUGUAAGAGAAGAACGAGUGUGAGAGUGGAAAGUUCACACUGUGACGGUAGCUUACCAGAAAGGGACGGCUAACUACGUG
rnacentral:rRNA from 1 species